rnacentral:rRNA from 1 species
CCUACGGGUGGCAGCAGUCGAGAAUCAUUCACAAUGGGGGAAACCCUGAUGGUGCAACGCCGCGUGGGGGAAUGAAGGUCUUCGGAUUGUAAACCCCUGUCAUGUGGGAGCAAAUUAAAAAGAUAGUACCACAAGAGGAAGAGACGGCUAACUCUGUGCCAGCAGCCGCGGUAAUACAGAGGUCUCAAGCGUUGUUCGGAAUCACUGGGCGUAAAGCGUGCGUAGGCUGUUUCGUAAGUUGUGUGUGAAAGGCGCGGGCUCAACCCGCGGACGGCACAUGAUACUGCGAGACUAGAGUGAUGGAGGGGGAACCGGAAUGCUCGGUGUAGCAGUGAAAUGCGUAGAUAUCGAGAGGAACACUCGUGGCGAAGGCGGGUUCCUGGACAUUAACUGACGCUGAGGCACGAAGGCCAGGGGAGCGAAAGGGAUUAGAUACCCUUGUAGUC